CCUCAUUUCAUUGUUGGUCGAGGUUAUGGAACCACAGACUGCAAAAAUAAUAUUGUGCCAUUGCUGUUGCUGUCACGUUUGCCUUAACCCUCGUCAUCUUGGCUUUCCUCAUCUGCAGGACAAACAGCAGUGCAAAAUAUGCUCCUACAAGAGCCUCAGCUGAUGGACAAAACCAGCCUUGUUCAGUAUAAUUAUCCUAAGGAGGCAUCUGAACUUGCACUAGAAACACAUGGCGUGGAGUCAUGACAACACAUUAUCCGAUAAUGUAACAUGUAUUAUAUUAUAUUAUAUUAUAUUAUAUUAUAUUAUAUUAUAUUAUAUUAUAUUAUAUUAGAGAAAACAUAAGCAC
ensembl:lncRNA